AUAUGGCUGCUGAAAUUAA
rnacentral:misc_RNA from 1 species